rnacentral:rRNA from 1 species
GACGAACGCUGGCGGCGUGCCUAAUACAUGCAAGUUGAGCGAUGAAGAUUGGUGCUUGCACCAAUUUGAAGAGCAGCGAACGGGUGAGUAACGCGUGGGGAAUCUGCCUUUGAGCGGGGGACAACAUUUGGAAACGAAUGCUAAUACCGCAUAACAACUUUAAACAUAAGUUUUAAGUUUGAAAGAUGCAAUUGCAUCACUCAAAGAUGAUCCCGCGUUGUAUUAGCUAGUUGGUGAGGUAAAGGCUCACCAAGGCGAUGAUACAUAGCCGACCUGAGAGGGUGAUCGGCCACAUUGGGACUGAGACACGGCCCAAACUCCUACGGGAAGCAGCAGUAGGGAAUCUUCGGCAAUGGACGAAAGUCUGACCGAGCAACGCCGCGUGAGUGAAGAAGGGUUUCGGAUCGUAAAACUCUGUUGGUAGAGAAGAACGUUGGUGAGAGUGGAAAGCUCAUCAAGUGACGGUAACUACCCAGAAAGGGACGGCUAACUACGUG